rnacentral:rRNA from 1 species
GAGAAUGACUGGGCAGCAGCGGGGGUAGAACGUGGGGGGCAAGGGUUGGAGGGAAGGAGUGGGCGUAAAGCGCGAGCCGGGGGGUCUGUAAGGCUGGUGUGAAAGACCACGGCUCAACCGUGGAGGGUCAUUGGAAACUGGGGGACUUGAGUGCAGAAGAGGAAAGCGGAAUUCCACGUGUAGCGGUGAAAUGCGUAGAGAUGUGGAGGAACACCAGUGGCGAAGGCGGCUUUCUGGUCUGUAACUGACGCUGAGGCGCGAAAGCGUGGGGAGCAAACAGGAUUAGAUACCCGAGUAGUC